GUUCGAUCCUGGCUCAGAUUGAACGCUGGCGGGAUACUUUACACAUGCAAGUCGAACGGCAGCACGGACGCCGGUCUGGUGGCGAGUGGCGAACGGGUGAGUAAUGUAUCAGAACGUGCUAAUGCGGGGGAUAACUGCGCGAAAGCGUAGCUAAUACCGCAUACGCCCUUCGGGGAAAGCGGGGACCUUCGGGCCUCGCACUAUUAGAGCGGCCGAUAUCCGGAUUAGCUAGUUGGUGGGGUAACGGCUACGCCAAGGCGACGAUCCGUAGCUGGUUUUGAGAGGACGGCCAGCCACACUGGGACUGAGACACUGGCCAGACUCCUACGGGAGGCAGCAGUGGGGAAUUUUUGGACAAUCGCGGGGAAACCUGAUCCAGCCAUCCCGCGUGUGCGAUGAAGGCUUCCGGGUUGUAAAACUGCACGGCGGGAAAAACGGCACGGGAUAAUACCCGUGCAGCUGACGUACCUGCAGAAUAAGCACCGGCUAACUACGUGCCAGCAGCCGCGGGUGGCGCCACGUAGGGUGCAAGCCCGGUAAUCGGAAUUACCGGAGCGUAAAGCGUGCGCAGGCGGUUCGGAAAAGAAAGAUGUGAAAUCCCAGAGCUUAACUUUGGAACUGCAUUUUUAACUGCCGAGCUAGAGUGUGUCAGAGGAGGUGGAAUUCCCGCGUGUAGCAGUGAAAUGCGUGGGCUGCGGAGGAACACCGAUGGCGAAGGCAACUUCUGGGAUAACACUGACGCUCGCGCAUGCGGCAGUAGGAGCAAACGAAGUUAGAUACCUACGGUAGUCCACGCCUAAACGAUGUCAACUAGCUGUUGGGGCCUUCGGGCCUUGGUAGCGCAGCUAACGCGUGAAGUUGACCGCCUGGGGGAGGCUACGGUCGCAGAUUAAGCGAAAUUGACGGGGACCCGCACAAGCGGUGGAUGAUGGAUUAAUUCGAUGCAACGCGAAAAACCUUACCUACCCUUGACAUAUCUGAAUCCCGAAAAAGAAAUUUGGGAGUGCUCGCAAGAGAACCGGAACACAGGUGCUGCAUGGCUGUCGUCAAGCUCGUGUCGUGAGAUGGUGGGUUAAGUCCCGCAACGAAGCGCAACCCUUGUCAUUAGUUACCGAAAGGGCACUCUAAUGAGACUGCCGGUGACAAACCGGAGGAAAGACGAGGAUGACGUCAAGUCUCCUUGACGCCAUGGGUAGGGCUUCACGUCAGCCACAAUGGUCGGGACAGAGGGUCGCCAACCCGCGAGGGAGUUGUCAGAAACCCGAUCGUAGUCCGGAUCGCAGUCUGCAACUCGACUCGCGGCGGAAGUCGGAAUCGCUAGUAAUCGCGGAUCAGCAUGUCGCGGUGAAUACACGUUCCCGGGUCUUGUACGCACCGCCCGUCACACCAUGGGAGUGGGUUUUACCAGAAGUAGUUAGCCUAACCCGUAAGGGCGAUUACGGUAAGGAUUCAUGACUGGAGAUGAAGUCGUAACAAAGGUCU
rnacentral:rRNA from 1 species